rnacentral:lncRNA from 1 species
UUUUUCAAAAUUAAUACGCAAAAUUCUGAAAAUUUAGAGAGGUUCAUGUCAUAUGUAUAGAUAUUGAUGUCAAUAUUUAUACAGCUUCGGGGUCCGAAGCUAGAGGGAUGUUGGAAGAGUUGUCAUGUUGUAAAAAUGCGAGAAAUUGUGAAUUUUAGCAUUUUCAUCUUUUUGUGUCGUGUUUGGUAUCAAAAGUCAUUAUUUCUUAUGAGUAAUUUAGUUUCAAUAUUUUUAUUAUGCUAGAAGUGCAUUUUAGUCGGAAAACAAGAUUUUGAACUAUUUUUCAAAUGAUUUUAUAACAGACAUUUAUAAGUCGUUUUAGCGUUACUAGGAAAUAUUUAUGGAUUAAGAUUAAGAUUAUGUCGUGUGAAUACUUUUUGACAACAAUGGUCAUCAAUGCAAUUUAUUUGUCAACACCUAAACUGUAUAUAGAGUGAAGAAUGUCAAUUAACACUAAGUCUUAAUUUAAUCUGCUUUUGAUAUGUUUCAUUAUUUAGAAACUAUUUGUUUAUAAGUAUCCUUUUUUAUUUUCAUUGGUCAAAAACGUUUCUAUGAUCAUAUUUUAUAAAGGUGACUUUUUAGAAAGAAAAGAAAAAGAGAAAAUAUAGAGAGAACCAUGUGACGCACCGGUUCGCCCCGCUCUCGAUCUACGAGCAGCGGCGGAUUAAUAUAUGUUGCCAUGAUUACUGUUUUGUAAAUAUGCUUUAUGAACUGUGAUUGUAUAUAUGUUGGAUGCAAAAAUAAAGUAUGUGAACGUUCAUGUAUCCAGUCUCGUGUAUUGAUUUACAAUAACUUUCCAGUACGGAACCUCUAUCAUCUAUAACGGGCCUAAAUCGUUUGGAGUGUAAAAUACUGUUAUUCAUUUCCGACAGACUAUAGAGUUAACAAAAACGCAACAAAACAACCACAUGUACAAUCGACAAUUCAAAUUACGACAAAAUAGGAUUUUCUAUUCACGUCAAAUAAUUAGGAAAUUCUAAACGUGUCAAAU